ACUUUUUCUCUUCCUCUUCGUGGUCUUCUCCGUCACUCCUUCAAUCUCCAUCACUCUUAGUUUCUCCUUUUCGCUACAUAUCUUCUCCUCGUCUUCUUCUCUCUCUUCCCUAUUGUUCUUCUUCAGGUAUGUAUUUCUUCCUAUAUUCUUUUUUAAAACCUUAAUAUUCUUUCCUAUAUUUUGGUGUCCGAAAUUGGUAAGGGACUUUGAUUAUCAUCUUUUUUUCUUUCUUCUUUUGUGAAUUGAUCAUCAUCUAUCCAAAAUUAAGGCUGUGAUUUGUUCUUCCUCAUCUCUUUUAUUUGUGUUUUUAUUUGUUACUCAUCUCUUUUACCGAAAGAGCUUUUCAUAGCUUUGUUUUAUUUAUGUUUGGUUCUUUUUUUUAUAUAUAUAAAUUUGUAUCAGUUUCUUAUAUUACUUAUAUUAUAUGCAUUAGUUGACUAAUACACUUGCUACAUAUUUUUUAUUUUUUCAAAAUUGUUACAGUUCAUUGUAGUUAUGGUUAAGCUCGCAAUAAUAUUGUUUUUCAUGUGGUCAAUGGAUGAGCGUCAAUGCUAUGUGCAAAUUGUGUUUUAGUUGAUGGAAUGAUAUCAUCAUUUGAUUCUUUUUUUGUGUGAACUUGAUACGUACCGAAAUUCAAGUUGAAUCAUGGUAUAGAACUUUCAAUUUUGUUGCCUAUAGGUAGUAAUGGUGUUUAUCGCGUUCUUAAGAUUGUUGAAAAUAAAGAUCUGACUUAGUUCUUAACAUUAAUUAAGGAUCAAUCUAUGCAAUGUCCUUUAGUUGCUCAUUUUAUAUAUGCAGUUUUGGAUGUUUAAUUGAUUCUUCAGCUUCUUCUUCCAUGGUUGAGACUGAUUUGAGAGGUGAAUUAACAAUUUUUAAAGAUGUUGAUAUUACCACUAUUAAGAAUGAGUUAGCUUUUAUGGAGAAGGAGUUGUUUUGUAUGUAGUAAAGAAAUGUUGUUGAAGUCCUUCUGCUGUCAAGACAAGUUUUGAGUUUAAGACAUUGAGAUCUAAUUCAAGAUCUAUUGAGUUAGGAUGUAAUGAAGAUGGUUGUCUUUGGUUUGUUAGAG
rnacentral:lncRNA from 1 species